rnacentral:tRNA from 1 species
CCCUGUAGCUCAGUUGGUAGAGCAUGGUGUUUGCAAUGCCAAGGGUUGUGGGUUAGAUUCCCACGAGGG